GCUUCUUUUCUUUUAGUUUUCUGGAAUACUUUCUUGGGAGCUAUUUGAAUAAAAGCGUCACUGCUGAGAAAUCAAUUUCUACUUGAGCAAUAUUUGAGAAGUAUACAACCUUAAUCAUCUAAUUUUUGAAAUAAUACACCAAUGAACAUUAAACUUCCUACAUAAUCUUGAAGCUUAGAGUAAUUAACUCAACAAACCUUCUAAAUAUUAAACUAAUAAAAAAGCCACACUCAUCAAUCCUUUUUGCACAUCACUUUACCCUUUCCUCAAUCUUCACGGGGAAGCCACCCUUCAUUUUCGCAGUCAGAUACGAAACAAAUUCCGGCUCAACACCAUCCCCCGCCGCUGGUACCACCUUAAACCGACUUAAGACACCAGCAACCACCCUCUUCAUUUGCAAGAAGGCCAUUUCCUUCCCCAAACAAAUCCUGGGUCCGGCCUGAAAUACUGGGUAGGUAUACGUAUCUCUCCCCACGAAAUUCCAUUUCUCGCUCGUUGUAUCUCUCUCCAGCCACCUCUCUGGCUUGUAAUCGGCCCAAUCCACACCCCACAGCGUCUCUAGCCGACCCAUUGCGUAUGGAUGGUACGUAACUCUGUUUCCCUUGGUCACCGGAGUACCGUCUGGCAAAAUGUCAUCGCCUACUGCCAGUUUGGAGUCUGUUGGGACAGGAGGGUACAGCCUCAUGCUUUCACACAAAGACGCAUGGGUGUAAACCAUGUCCUUCACUUCUUCGAAAACGGGCAUCUCUGAUUUCUCAUGUAUCUCUUUGAUAAUGUUUAUUUCUACUUCUGGGUGUUUAGAGAGCAACCAGAAAAACCAUGUUAAGGCCGCAGACGUCGUGUCGCGGCCAGCUAGUAUGAAGCUAAUCACGAUGUCAACGAUGAAGGUCUCAUCCGAAUGGCCGGAGCUCAAGAAUCGGGAUAAGAGAUCGACGGAUUCAAUGGACGAGUUCUCCUUGAGUUCUUCCUUCUUUUCCUUGACUAGGUUCACAGCAAAAUGGCGUACUUCAGA
rnacentral:misc_RNA from 1 species